rnacentral:tRNA from 1 species
GCGGAAAUGGCGGAAUUGGCAGACGCGCUAGGUUGAGGGCCUAGUGGGGUUAAACCCGUGCAGGUUCAAGUCCUGUUUUCCGCA